GAAAUGCGUAGAGAUCUGGAGGAAUACCGGUGGCGAAGGCGGCCCCCUGGACAAAGCCUGACGCUCAGGUGCGAAAGCGAGGGGAGCAAUCAGGAUUAGAUACCCUGGUAGUCCACGCCGUAAACGAUGUCGAUUUGGAGGUUGUGCCCUUGAGGCGUGGCUUCCGGAGCUAACGCGUUAAAUCGACCGCCUGGGGAGUACGGCCGCAAGGUUAAAACUCAAAUGAAUAGACGGGGGCCCGCACAAGCGGUGGAGCAUGUGGUUUAAUUCGAUGCAACGCGAAGAACCUUACCUGGUCUUGACAUCCACAGAACUUA
rnacentral:rRNA from 1 species